rnacentral:lncRNA from 1 species
ACCCUUGGCCGCCCCUACCCCUUCCCCUUGCAGCCGCCCUCCACUUCUUCCUCCUCCCUCUAGAUCUCCCCCCACGCAGCAAGGAUCGAGAUGAGGAGGAGCAAGAUGGAUUGAAGAGGAAGAGAGGAUCAAGGAGAUGUUCUACCCCCAUCUCUUGCAGAUUUUCUUGGGGAAACCCUAGGUAAGGAUGGGAUCCUUGUUCCUCCCUAUAAUUAUGUGCUUUUGGAGGUUGUGGAUCAUGUGGAUUGAAGGAUUAGAGGUUGGAUUAGAUGUGGGGUUAGGUUUUGAUCUCGAAUUUAAUUUCUGCAGAAUGGCAGAUUCGACAGUUUCUGUUCAUGCCAGUUUUCCGUGGUCUUAGUGGCCUCAAAAAAAUAAAAAGUCUAUAUAUGAGUCGUAGAUAAGUUGUAGAUCUUUCCGUGGCCGCAAAGAACACCUCAAUCGGACAUCAGAACAGAAAGUUAUUGCAGUUUGAUUAUAUCAGUUUUUUAGUCUCAUAAUUCUGUGCAGAAUCUGUUCUCUUAAGAGUUAGGCAAUUUUAUCAACAGAAUUAAAAUGUGGGUUGGUAAAAGAAGUUGUAGAUAAUUUCAUAAGCUUUCCAGAUUGUUAAAGAGUGCAUUCAUAUGAUUUAUGAAACUCCAGUUAUGUUUGUUUUACUGUGGCUGUUGCUGUUUGCCUGACAAAAAUGAGCGGGUCUGUUCACUGGUAGGUUUCAUCUAGUAAAUGGCCGAAUUGGCUCUUCAACUAUGGAGACUUUUGUAGAGGGAUAAAAGUUCUUACUGUCAGCAGAAUUUCAUAAUUUUUGGUUCAGUAGUUUGGGAGAUAUCGAAUUUUGAAGUUAACUAGGCUGCUGUCUAAAACAGAUUCAGUCAGUUAUCUUGUCAGAUGUUUUAGAACUUAUUGAUGACAGAAUUUAAUUAUCCAUUGAAUACCGAAGUUGUAGAGUGUUUUGUGUAGAUACUCCUAGAGUAUUUUUUUGAUAUCACCACUGUUUUAAUUUUAAAGAUACAAAAUUAACAAACAGUGUUGCUGUUGUAUGGCAUGUGGUUUAGGGUGGGAGUCUUUCCACUGGGUCUUGGUUUCAAGUGUAGGAGUGUUUUGUUGAUCGUUGGCAAAUGUUUGUGAAAUAUUUGUACUAAGUUUUAUGCCCACUAGCAGGUGGCUACACUCCAGAUCAUGCCUAGUACAUUUUUCUUCUUCGAUGAAGGCAAGUGAAUGUAGUGGUGGUUGCUUCCGUUCUGACCUGUUAUUUCUAUUGCCUACACUCUAAUAUUCAGAAGUAUCAGAUUAUUUCAUAAUUGGACUCUAUGGUGAUUCUUUACUUGCUUGCAUUAUACUGAUGCUCAAUCAUAUAUUGAUGAUGAUUAUGGUUCGAGUAUGACUCAUGAGAUUAAUUCACACCCCUGAAGGUAAAUGAAGUAUUAUUUGAGGCUGGUAUUGUAUCUGAAGGUAAAUGAAGUAUUAUUUGAGGUUGGUAUUGUAUCUGAAGGUAAAUGAAGUAUUAUUUGAGGUUGGUAUUGUAUCUGAAGGUAAAUAAAGUAUUAUUUGAGGUUGUAUUGUAUGUGAAGGAAGUGAAGUAUAUUGAUAAAUGCAGCAUGCCAUAUACAUUGCAUGAUUCACUUGCAUAUGAAGUUGGGUCGUGACCUAUGGUCCGACCGUACCGGUACAACUUAGCAUCGUACGUUGCCCGAGGAGGGGUACGAUGCGGCUUCAUACCCUUAGAGGUAUGAAGGCAGAGGACAUAUGCAUUGCAUUCAUUGAAGUGAUAUUUGCAGAUGAUGUGGUUUUAUACCCUCAGAGGUAUGAAGACAGAGUACCUACACUUCGCACUCCUAUGCAUACAUUGAAGUGAUAUUUGCAGGUUUUGUUGACGCAGGGAAGUGUUAUAGAACCUAUUGUGGUUGUUCGAGGAAAUGAGAUGGUAUUGGUUAUAUUGGGACUACUGAGUUCUAUAUCUACAAGUAUUUCUGAUCUUAAUUGUGAUUCUUUUAAAAUGUUGAUUAAUUCAAUUUGUGGUUUAAAUAUCUCGUCAAAACAAUUCGCUUGCUGAGAUGUUUCAUCUCACUCUUGCAUUACUCAAUGCAGGUGCUUGUUGCUCAUCCAGGGAAGUGGGAAGUAGCAGCACAUCCACCUUCACUCUCAUAAUAACGCUGCUUAGGCGCAGUCAUGAUUUAAUUAGAAGCUUCUUGUCAAAGGAUGUUUGUUUCUAACUAGUUGUGCGCACUGGUUAAUUUAGUUCAUGUUGUUAUGGUUGUCUUCCCAUUGCUAGCAGAUUAUUAAUGUCGAUUAUGUUUUCUUAUCAUGAUAUCUAUUUAUACUUUGUUGCUUCCCCGUUUAUGCAAUUUUCAAAGGAGAUGCUGUCGAAAUUUUAUAUACGAAUGUUAGAAGUGUAGUUUAGUAGCAUUCUGGGGUGUUUGUGGAUCCCGGGGUGUUACAGGAAGACAGACUCGACCUCGGCUUCGGAGGAGCUUCCACAUCGCCCAACCUAGGGCGCAGACCAGCC